rnacentral:rRNA from 1 species
GGAAUAUUGCGCAAUGGCCGAAAGGCUGACGCAGCGACGCCGCGUGUGGGAUGACGCCCUUCGGGGUGUAAACCACUGUUGCCCGGGACGCACGGCGAGUCUCGACUCGAUUGACGGUACCGGGGGAGGACGCACCGGCUAACCCCGUGCCAGCAGCCGCGGUAAUACGGAGGGUGCGAGCGUUGUCCGGAAUCACUGGGCGUAAAGGGACCGUAGGUGGCUUGGUAAGCGUGUGGUGAAAGCCCGGGGCUCAACCCCGGGUCUGCCGUGCGAACUGCCAUGGCUUGAGUACUGUAGAGGCAGGUUGAAUUCCGGGUGUAGCGGUGGAAUGCGUAGAGAUCCGGAAGAAUACCGGUGGCGAAGGCGGCCUGCUGGGCAGUUACUGACACUGAGGCGCGACAGCGUGGGGAGCAAAC